CGACGCAGAGCGGUACCCGAAAACCUGUCUCAGUUCGGAUCGGAGUCUGCAACCCGACUCCGUGAAGCUGGAUUCGCUAGUAAUCGCGCAUCAGCCAUGGCGCGGUGAAUACGUUCCCGGGCCUUGUACACACCGCCCGUCAAGCCAUGGAAGCCGGGAGUGCCUGAAGUAUGCAACCGCAAGGAGCGUCCUAAGGUAAAACCGGUGACUGGGGCUAAGUCGUAACAAGGUAUC
rnacentral:rRNA from 1 species